rnacentral:rRNA from 1 species
UACGGAGGGUGCAAACGUUGCUCGGAAUCAUUGGGCGUAAAGCGCACGUAGGCGGCUCGUUAAGUCGGGUGUGAAAGCCCUGGGCUCAACCCAGGAAGUGCAUUCGAAACUGGCGAGCUUGAAUAUGGAAGAGGGUCGCGGAAUUCCCGGUGUAGAGGUGAAAUUCGUAGAUAUUCGGAAGAACACCAGUGGCGAAGGCGGCUCACUGGCCCGGUACUGACGCUGAGGUGCGAAAGCGUGGGGAGCAAACAGG